rnacentral:rRNA from 1 species
AGUGAACGCUGGCGGUAGGCCUAACACAUGCAAGUCGAACGGCAGCACAGUAAGAGCUUGCUCUUACGGGUGGCGAGUGGCGGACGGGUGAGGAAUACAUCGGAAUCUACUUUUUCGUGGGGGAUAACGUAGGGAAACUUACGCUAAUACCGCAUACGACCUACGGGUGAAAGCAGGGGAUCUUCGGACCUUGCGCGAUUGAAUGAGCCGAUGUCGGAUUAGCUAGUUGGCGGGGUAAAGGCGCACCAAGGCGACGAUCCGUAGGUGGUCUGAGAGGAUGAUCAGCCACACUGGAACUGAGACACGGUCCAGACUCCGACGGGAGGCAGCAGUGGAGAAUAUUGGACAAUGGGCGCAAGCCUGAUCCAGCCAUACCGCGUGGGUGAAGAAGGCCUUCGGGCUGUAAAGCCCUUUUGUUGGGAAAGAAAAGCAGCAGGUUAAUACCCCGCUGUUCUGACGGUACCCAAAGAAUAAGCACCGGCUAACUUCGUG